CACGUAGGGCGCGAGCGUUGUCCGGAAUUAUUGGGCGUAAAGAGCUCGUAGGCGGCCUGUUGCGUCCGCUGUGAAAGCCCGGGGCUUAACCCCGGGUCGGCAGUGGAUACGGGCAGGCUAGAGGUAGGUAGGGGAGAAUGGAAUUCCCGGUGUAGCGGUGAAAUGCGCAGAUAUCGGGAGGAACACCGGUGGCGAAGGCGGUUCUCUGGGCCUUACCUGACGCUGAGGCGCGAAAGCGUGGGGAGCAAACAGG
rnacentral:rRNA from 1 species